AGAGGGGGCGAGCGUUAUUCGGAAUUAUUGGGCGUAAAGGGCGCGUAGGCGGCUUGACAAGUCCAAGGUGAAAUCCCUCGGCUCAACCGAGGAACUGCCUUGGAAACUGUCUGGCUCGAGGCCGGGAGAGGGUAGUGGAAUUCCCAGUGUAGCGGUGAAAUGCGUAGAUAUUGGGAGGAACACCGGUGGCGAAGGCGGCUACCUGGACCGGAUCUGACGCUGAUGCGCGAAAGCGUGGGGAGCAAACAGGAUUAGAUACCCUGGUAGUCCACGCUGUAAACGAUGGGUGCUCGGUGUCGCGGGUAUCGACCCCUGCGGUGCCUUAGCUAACGCGUUAAGCACCCCGCCUGGGGAGUACGGUCGCAAGGCUG
rnacentral:rRNA from 1 species